GCGUUGUCCGGAUUUAUUGGGCGUAAAGAGCGUGUAGGCGGCCAUACAGGUCUGUUGUGAAAACUAGAGGCUUAACCUCUAGACGUCGAUGGAAACCGUAUGGCUAGAGUCCGGAAGAGGAGAGUGGAAUUCCUGGUGUAGCGGUGAAAUGCGCAGAUAUCAGGAAGAACACCCGUGGCGAAGGCGGCUCUCUGGGACGGUACUGACGCUGAGACGCGAAAGCGUG
rnacentral:rRNA from 1 species